rnacentral:rRNA from 1 species
CGGAGUUUUGAAAAGCUUGCUUUUCAAAACUUAGCGCCGGACGGGUGUAGUUAACACGCGGGCAACCUGCCGUUGCAACGGGGUAUAACAUCCAGGAAACCGGAGCUAAUACCGGAUAACACAUAUCUUCGCAUGAGGAUAUGUUAGAAGGUGGCUUUUAGCUACCACUCAAGGAUGGGCCCGCGGCGCAUUAGCUAGUUGGUGAGGUAACGGCUCACCAAGGCGACGAUGCGUAGCCGACCUGAGAGGGUGAUCGGCCACACUGGGACUGAACACGGCCCAGACUCCUACGGGAGGCAGCAGUAGGGAAUCUUCCGCAAUGGACGAAAGUCUGACGGAGCACCCGCGUGAGUGAUGAAGGUUUUCGAUCGUAAAGCUCUGUUG